rnacentral:rRNA from 1 species
GACGAACGCUGGCGGCGUGCUUAACACAUGCAAGUCGAACGGUAAGGCCCUUCGGGGUACACGAGUGGCGAACGGGUGAGUAACACGUGGGUGAUCUGCCCUGCACUUCGGGAUAAGCCUGGGAAACUGGGUCUAAUACCGGAUAGGACUCCGGACUGCAUGGUCUGGGGUGGAAAGCUUUUGCGGUGUGGGAUGGGGCCGCGGCCUAUCAGCUUGUUGGUGGGGUGAUGGCCUACCAAGGCGACGACGGGUAGCCGGCCUGAGAGGGUGACCGGCCACACUGGGACUGAGAUACGGCCCAGACUCCUGCGGGAGGCAGCAGUGGGGAAUAUUGCGCAAUGGGCGCAAGCCUGAUGCAGCGACGCCGCGUGAGGGAUGACGGCCUUCGGGUUGUAAACCUCUUUCAGCAUCGACGAAGCGAAAGUGACGGUAGGUGCAGAAGAAGGACCGGCCAACUACGUGCCAGCCGCCGCAGUAA